UACGGGGGGGGCAAGCGUUGUUCGGAAUUACUGGGCGUAAAGGGCUCGUAGGCGGCCAACUAAGUCAUACGUGAAAUCCCUCGGCUUAACCGGGGAACUGCGUCUGAUACUGGAUGGCUUGAGAUUGGGAGAGGGAUGCGGAAUUCCAGGUGUAGCGGUGAAAUGCGUAGAUAUCUGGAGGAACACCGGUGGCGAAGGCGGCAGCCUGGACCAACACUGACGCUGAGGAGCGAAAGCCAGGGGAGCAAACGGG
rnacentral:rRNA from 1 species